GACGAACGCUGGCGGCGUGCCUAAUACAUGCAAGUAGAACGCUGAAGAGAGGAGCUUGCUCUUCUUGGAUGAGUUGCGAACGGGUGAGUAACGCGUAGGUAACCUGCCUUGUAGCGGGGGAUAACUAUUGGAAACGAUAGCUAAUACCGCAUAACAAUGGAUGACACAUGUCAUUUAUUUGAAAGGGGCAAUUGCUCCACUACAAGAUGGACCUGCGUUGUAUUAGCUAGUAGGUGAGGUAAUGGCUCACCUAGGCGACGAUACAUAGCCGACCUGAGAGGGUGAUCGGCCACACUGGGACUGAGACACGGCCCAGACUCCUACGGGAGGCAGCAGUAGGGAAUCUUCGGCAAUAGGGGCAACCCUGACCGAGCAACGCCGCGUGAGUGAAGAAGGUUUUCGGAUCGUAAAGUUCUGUUGUAAGUCAAGAACGGGUGUGAGAGUGGAAAGUUCACACUGUGACGGUAGCUUACCAGAAAGGGACGGCUAACUACGUG
rnacentral:rRNA from 1 species